UCAAAUAUCGAAGAAUCUUAAACCAGGGACACCAGCCCCAGCGAAGGAAGACCUUGAGCUAUUUCAAAGCGCAGACACCUCGAUUCCCCGAAUUUGUUGUGUGGCCGGUAUCGGUGUUCCCCUGGUUUAACUAGCCUGUCUGUUCUCGUGAUGAGCUUGGUACUUCUUCGAUCGUCACGGACACCCUCCGCUGCUUGACACAGUUGAUUUUGUGUAAUUUAUGUUACCUGCCUAACUGCUGAAGGCUUUUGAGUUUGCUGACGAAAUAGAGAGGAAGGAUUAUUUCUCCAAACCAAGGCAACUUCGAAGGCUACUGAGAGAGCAAAGGGACAAGGGCUGACCUGACCGCCGAGGGGCCUCCGUGAAGAGGCCUUGCCUAUGUGGAGACUUGAAAGAAGGAUGGGUCUGUGGGACAAGGAAGGGAGGCCGUCCCAUCCGCGGGAAGGACGUUUACCGAGGCACCAGGACAUGAGAGCGCGGACUCCAGGGAACAGCUGAUACUCAUGGCCUGCAUGUGGGAUCCGUCCUUGGUUUAGAAACCAACAAUUCAAGGGCCAUAUACGAGAUAGUUCCUGAAUCAAGGUUAUUUCAGGCCGCUUUGGAAAUUCACCCAGGAAGUUUCAGUUGAAGCAGAUUUCAGAUACCUCAUGGUUUCAGGAUCUUCAAGAAGGCAAAUAGUAAAAUGAAAAACACGUGCAGGAAAUUAGGAUUGCAGUUGCCUGGGCCGCUGAAGGGGUUGCUACUGAGGGGGAAAGGCCUCGGAGGGGAUCUUCUUAUGUUGAAUGGAGAUGUGCAUGCAUAACAUCGUCCCAAAUCCAGAGAGAUACAUUGUGAGAGGGACUUGACCUGCACCCACUUUAGCUGGCUUUGAAGAUUGAGUGAGGGACCAUCAGCCAAGGCUUGUGGUGGCUUCUAGGAGCAGGGAACGACCCUCAACUGACAGCUGGUAAGAAAAUAGCCACAAGGAAACAAAUCCUGGCAACAC